rnacentral:rRNA from 1 species
AGUGAACGCUGGCGGUAGGCCUAACACAUGCAAGUCGAACGGCAGCACAGUAAGAGCUUGCUCUUACGGGUGGCGAGUGGCGGACGGGUGAGGAAUACAUCGGAAUCUACUUUUUCGUGGGGGAUAACGUAGGGAAACUUACGCUAAUACCGCAUCCGACCUACGGGUGAAAGCAGGGGAUCUUCGGACCUUGCGCGAUUGAAUGAGCCGAUGCCGGAUUAGCUAGUUGGCGGGGUAAAGGCCCACCAAGGCGACGAUCCGUAGCUGGUCUGAGAGGAUGAUCAGCCACACUGGAACUGAGACACGGUCCAGACUCCUACGGGAGGCAGCAGUGGGGAAUAUUGGACAAAGGGCGCAAGCCUGAUCCAGCCAUACCGCGUGGGUGAAGAAGGCCUUCGGGUUGUAAAGCACUUUUGUUGGGAAAGAAAAGAAGAAGGUUAAUACCCCGCUGUUCUGACGGUACCCAAAGAAGAAGCACCGGCCAACUUCGUG